CUCUCUUCUUUUUGUCUUCUGUUACUCUCUCUUCUAUUCGUCUUCCGCCGUAUCGAAGGGGGUUACCCCCUCCCCCCUUCUCUCUGUUUCCAUACAGGUUUUACUCUCGAGAUCUCUCGAGGUUUACUUUCGAGUCUCCAGCGCUUUAGAAGGCAGUUUCAAUUCUCCAGCAUUUUAGAUGGCUGUGAUAGUGCUCCGACGUCCAAGAUGAUAGUUUCUGUUCUUUGGCAGUUCUUCGAUGUAUUGGAUGGCAGUUACAGAUGAUACCGUCUUUUGUGGUUUUUUUUUUUGGAGUGGUUGAAAGUUACAAUUCAUGGCUUGUGGCUAUGUAACCUCCUCUAUCAGUUGAGAAAAUCUAUGAUACGGAAAAGAUAUGAUAUGGAAAGAGUUUUGACCAAUCAAAGCCCACCCAUGAAUUUUGAUAAAUAACACCUGAUUCGUUACUACAUUUAUGGUUCGAGUUUAUUGGUCAGUUGUUUUUUUGAUAUCAUAUCUUUUCCAUAUCAUAGUCAAACCCCUAUCAGUUUUCAUUUUAGUUGGUAACUCCUCUUGUUUGUUUGCUCGCCAGUUAUGGUGGUUUGAAGAUGUACUUAUCCACUUCUGUUGGUGAUGUUAAGUCACCUUGCUUUGGUUGUAGAAGUUCUUCCAAUUCUCCUAAAUCCAUCUCUUUGUCUUGUUCUUCU